UGGAAGUAAAAGUCGUAACAAGGUUUCCGUAGGUGAACCUGCGGAAGGAUCAUUAAUGAUUAACUGUCUGUCGAGCUUGCUCACAGACUUAUCAUAUCCAUAACACCUGUGCACUUGUCGGAUGGCUUAGUGAAGACCGCAAGGUUGGAACUAUCCAUCUACUUUACAUAACAAUUUAGUAACAAAUGUAGUCUUAUUAUAACAUAAUAAAACUUUCAACAACGGAUCUCUUGGCUCUCGCAUCGAUGAAGAACGCAGCGAAAUGCGAUAAGUAAUGUGAAUUGCAGAAUUCAGUGAAUCAUCGAAUCUUUGAACGCACCUUGCGCUCCCUGGUAUUCCGGGGAGCAUGCCUGUUUGAGUGUCAUGAAAACCCUCAACCUUAGAUUGGUUAACACCUUUCUUUGGCUUGGAUUUGGACGUUUGCCGAUGAUAAGUCGGCUCGUCUUAAAAGUAAUAGCUGGAUCUGUCUCGCGACAUGGUUUGACUUGGCGUAAUAAGUAUUUCGCUAAGGACAUCUUCGGAUGGCCGCGUUGCAAGACUAAAGACCGCUUUCUAAUCCAUUGAUCUUCGGAUUAAUAUUCUUGACAUCUGGCCUCAAAUCAGGUAGGACUACCCGCUGAACUUAAGCAUAUCAAUAAGCGGAGGA
rnacentral:rRNA from 1 species